GAUGAACGCUGGCGGCGUGCCUAAUACAUGCAAGUCGAGCGAACGGACGAGAAGCUUGCUUCUCUGAUGUUAGCGGCGGACGGGUGAGUAACACGUGGAUAACCUACCUAUAAGACUGGGAUAACUUCGGGAAACCGUAGCUAAUACCGGAUAAUAUUUUGAACCGCAUGGUUCAAAAGUGAAAGACGGUCUUGCUGUCACUUAUAGAUGGAUCCGCGCUGCAUUAGCUAGUUGGUAAGGUAACGGCUUACCAAGGCAACGAUGCAUAGCCGACCUGAGAGGGUGAUCGGCCACACGGGAACAGAGACACGGUCCAGACUCCUACGGGAGGCAGCAGUAGGGAAUCUUCCGCAAUGGGCGAAAGCCUGACGGAGCAAAGACGCGUGAGUGAUGAAGGUCUUCGGAUCGUAAAACUCUGUUAUUAGGGAAGAACAUAUGUGUAAGUAACUGUGCACAUAUUGACGGUACCUAAUCAGAAAGCCACGGCUAACUACGUG
rnacentral:rRNA from 1 species